AGCUAGAGCUCGUCUCGUUGAUGUCGCCCAAUUCGCCUCAUCGCUUGUUUACAGGAACGGAACUGAAUCGUAAACGGAGAAACCCCUGUGAGGGGCACGUGUCUGGACCUAACGCUGGAUUCCCAAUGUUGACUGUGGCCAAGAGUCUCUUCCUUUCCUGACCUCGUGACCGGAGUGCGAUAAGCGUGGCCGACCGUGCGUCACUUGACAGCUCGGUCUGUCGCGCUCGCGCUCGCUCUCGCUCUCUGUGUAGCCUCUGCAACGGGAUCUGACGGUCUCAAGUUACAGCUGUGCAAAAAUAGUUUGUGUUGAGCUGAGAAUGUACGUCGGCCAUGUGUGCUUGAUCCAAAUGUAAAGAUGAAUUUCUUUCUUUUGGGCGGAGAAGAUGUUUUACUCUAUUUUAUUGGAAUAAAAUGGAUGUUACUCAAAUGAG